UUUGGUAACUUAAUAUAUUUAAGAAUUUAAAAAGCUGGGAAUAUGAACAAUCAUAUAUCUUAAUAGAACAAAAUGAAAAGUCAUUUUAAAAUAUGAAAGAUUAUUUUCGAGUCUGUAUAAAGGAUUAUACUCAUACUCAUUUUGGAUGAAAUGAUAUAGUAAAUGCUAUUUAUUUUAUCUCAAGAAAAUUGAUCGCAUCUGCCAAUAACGAUUAAUCAUAUUUGACUGGUUCUUCUUUAGUUUGAAUUUGAUACUUUAUUUGUUUACUUAGAUUUUCUACCGUAUAGUUUAUUUUAAAUUACGUGGAAUUCGAUUCUUCCAAUUUGAGAUUUUUUUUUUAAUUUCUAUAUUUUUUAAUAUUUGUUUUCAAUAUUUUGGUUACUAUGUUAUAAAUUUUUAUGUUUUUUUUAUUUACAAAUCAUAUUGUCUCUAUUGUAUAAUAAUUUGAUUGUGUUGAAAAUUUUGAUAGAUUUGUUUAUAUUAGGGUUUAGAAUUUUUGAAAUAAUUAAUUAUUACGCAGCCGAACGUCAUACUUAGCGCAAUCUAAUGGAUAUGUUAGAAUUUGUUUACUAAAUAUAUUUUCUAUUAUUUCUGAUUAAACCUAUACGUCACUACCUCUAUAAUAAAACAUCAAAAUAAAUUUGUCAGUAAUAAAUGUGAUUUGACACCUAUCGUAAUACUUUAUUAUUAAAAAUUGAAAUGUUUUUAAAUUUUUUUUUUAUGCUUUUCAAUAUACUUUAAAAUUACUAAAACUUUUAAAAUAAAUGUAUUCUACUCUCUACAAAAUAACUUACAGAAAUAUAAAGAUUUAAAAUUUAGGAUUUAAAUUUUAAAAAAAUAUAUCUAUCCGUCGCAUCGCGCGGGUCACUACACUUGUACUUAAUUAAUAGACUAAAAGUUAUAGGUAUCGUCCGGUUCUCUUCCGUUCUAAAUGCAGUAUCUAGAGUUAAUAUCAUUAUCCUUUUGCAAAUUCAUGCAUGUGCAUUUAUAACAUGAAAACAAUAUUAUCUCCAAAUAAACACUCCAAACAGAUGCAUAGUCAUAAUGUAACUUAAUCGUACUAUGUUGAAUAUAUAGUCCUUAAUUGAGUGUUCAUGCUAACUCCCUUUACAUACGAAACAAUCAUUUUUCAACUCAUCGUAUAUAUUCGAGACUUUUUCGGUAAGCCUAUGACGUGGAUUUAGAUUAAAUGAGCGAAAAUUACUCAGAACUUCUGCUCUAAUAUCAUGUUACAUAAUACGAAACAAUAAUUAUUAUCUAAAAAGUUAAACUGAUCAUAGAGACAGGUGUUUAAAUAUUUUUAUAUUUAACAGAGAUUAUUUUAUCCUACACAUGCUUUAUAUAUAUAUAUAUAUAUAUAUAUAUAUAUACUAGUUGAGUGUACGCGCAAAUCCACGUAACAAUUAUUUUAAUUUAUUUUAAAUCAGUAAAAAUUUAUAAAUCAUAUUUAUUCAAAAAUUUAGAAUAAAAUAUUUUAUAAAUUUAUAUAUUAUAUUUUAUUACAAAAAUCUAUAAUAUCAAUUUUAAAUUUUAAUAUAAAAUAGAUUGAUAGAUUUGAUAUCCAAAAUCAAAAACUUAAAUUUAAAUUUUAAUGUAAAAUAGAUGGAUAGAGCAUAUUGAUAUUCUGGCAAAAAUUUAAAUAAAUAUGAAUUUAUUUAUAUUUUAGAGAUAAAAAAAUUAAACAAAUUUUGAAUUAAAAUAUAGAUUUACAAUAGACAUCUUUCGAUUGGCCAAAUUUGAAUAAGUAUAUAUUUUUUUAUUUUAGAGGUAAAGAUAAAUUAAAAGUUUGUUUUAUUAUGUUAUUUAUUUUAUGUAAGAAAAGAGGAAUCAAAAUUUUUUUUUCCCUAAAAAUAGGUCUGCCGACAUAUCAAAAUUUGAAAUACGUGUUAGAUAAUAUAGAUAUUAUAUUACAGUUAGAGAUAAAAAAGAAUUAAAUAAAAAUUCAUAGUAGAUAUUCUCAGAUUGGUAAAAAUUUAGAUAAGCAUAAAUAAAUACGUGCGAGAUAGUAUAGAUAUUGUAUUACAGUUAGAGAUAAAAAAGAAUUAAAUAAAAAUUCAUAGUAGAUAUUCUCAGAUUGGCAAAAAUUUGGAUAAGCAUAAAUUUUUUUUCUGUUGUAGAAAUAAAGAGAAAAUAAAAGUUUGUUUAAUUCUAUUACUUAUUUUACGUAAGGAAAGAGGAAUCGAUUUUUUUUCCCGCUAAAAAAUGGGUCUGUCAACAGACCGAAAUUUGAAAUACGUGCUUAUAUAUAUACUAGUAAAAUGUACGUGCAAAUGCACGUAAUAAUUAUUAGAAAAAGUUAUAAUUUUUUUAAAUUAUUUUUUAAUUUUAGGCCAUAUUUUAUAUGAUUGCCAAAUAUGUAUCUAAAAAAUUUAAAAUAAUAAAUCACGCUAUUAAGAAAGAUAUGCUUUAAAUGAUAAAUAAUUAACAAUA
rnacentral:lncRNA from 1 species